UACUAAUUACUGAAAUUCCUUUAAGUUCCACUGUAUACGUCUAGUUUCCAUUUCCCAGAUAACACGCAGGGCGAGAUUCAGGCCAUGGGCUUUAUCUGCAUAUUACAACGGUCCCUCCUCAGGUAACACCAUCCUGAGGUGUGGGUUUCCAGGGUGGCUUAUUUCAAAGAAGACCAGGAAAUGGGGCUGUUUUUAAAGGUCUUCUCUUGCUGCCCUCACCGAAAUGUUUUUUAGGAAAUUAUGGAGGAAGAAGAAAUGAGCCACAGGGAACAGGCUCUGAAAAGUGUCAGCACAGGGCAGAUGCUUCAGUGGGAGACUGUCAUGUGACUGGAAGCUGGGGUUUUUGUCCCUGCUGCUCACAUGGCCUAGGUUUGGGAACAGGACUGCUGGAGCCUAGAAUCCUGGGAGGAAUGGAACUUAAAAAACAAUUUUAUUUCCAAAUUUUUAAAGUAUUCUCUAAGUCCCCUUUAAAAGUAUUUCUCUAUCUCCCUUUUAACAUGGGAACAUGGAGAAACACUGCUCCCUCUUUGCCCUGGAAUUUCAUAAGUUUCCAUCUACCCCUGGCCUGUGGAGAGCUCUGUCAUCAGACUCCUUCUGGGGUGCCAGGGAGCCAGGAGCACAUGACGACUCUACCACUCCUAGCCCUGCUUCUACAGGUUAUGCUGUUCCAUGCCCUCUUACUCUGAUUUGUGCUGUUCCCUCCUCACCGUCCCACUUGGGUAAUUCCUACGGUCAUAAAACUCAAGACAGGCAGACGCCCCUCCCCGCAGGCAGUCUCCUGGAAUGCCCCUCCCUCUCCAAUGAGGGUGUAGGGAGGACUUGUCUGGGUUCUGCUCUGUUACUGUCUCCUCUACACUUCUACCUUGCGUGCUUGUGGAGCUGAGCUGGAUGGAAGUUUCCCUCAUGCCCCUGCUCUUUGGGCUGUUACCUGGCCGGGUCUUACCUGUAUGGUCUGGAGGGUUUGCCUUCCCUCACCAUUGGGACACCAGCCAGAUGUUGUUCCUUCCUAGACCAAGAGCGCCUGAUGUUUCUGGGCCUGUGAGAGCAUCUACAAAAGUGGUGAGGAAUUCCAAGUUACCUUUUCCUCAUUCAGGAAAUGCCGUUCUCUGAGGAAAUUAAGCAGCCUCAAGAAAUUCCGGUGUUCUCCUAACGAGGCAAGCUGGAUAUUUCCCAUGUGC